ACAAUUGGAGGGGGGGACCUGGUUUCAACUGUUGAUGAGGCACUGUCCGAGGAGAGACAGUAGAUAAAUGCAAAUGUCCCCCAGCGCCAGAGGAGAUCCUUUCUAUGGAGAAACACCACAUACGUACAUAAUUUUCUGCCUGGAUUCUGGAAACGACCAAGGAUAAGCAACUCAAGCGAAAGAUUGCUUUGGUCGAUCCUGCUGUGUUAUUCUUCUCAAACAUGCUAAAGAAAGGGAUGAUACAAUCAAUCCAACUGUUACCCUCGGUGUGAUUUUUUGAAGGACUAAUCUGAAGAUGCUGGCUAGCUUGCACCGCCAUCAUACAGUCUAGAAGCAAAGGCAAGGAUUGCAGGGAAAAUAAAGGUGCAAUGCGCCCAAUAUAUUUUACUUUUUGGCGAAGUUUUGGUGCUUGCGCAAGAAAGUAACACCAUUAUUAUACCUACUGAUCCUUCUUCCCAGGCAAUUCGCCAUCCGAAGAAAUGCCAACUAACUCAUUUUUGUACUUCCUCUGUUACAGAGGUUGCUCCUGCAGAGAAUGUUUGAUAGCAUAGGAAAAACAAAGGAAUUCUACAAAGAGGUUUGAGUGGAU